UUUAAAAAGCUGGAAACUUGGGUUGUGGUGUGAAAUUUGAUAUUUAAAUAUUAGCGUUUGGCUCAACUUUUCUCGAAUGGAAUGAACAACAAGGCACAAUCUGGCCACGUUCAACAGUCAGUCAUGUGGAUAGCUUGUGAUCUCAUCCAAAUCCAGUGGGGGACAGUCUUCUGUUCAAGUGACUGUUUUGCGGUUGCCAGUUCCUCCCUUCUCCAGGGUUCUCUGCAUCCUUCUCCUCCCUCCUUUUUUUUCAGCAAACUGGUGCAACAUGAGACUGAAGAUCUGGGCUAAGAAAAUUGAGGAAAAGUAUGAGGAGGGCCAUGAGACAUGUUUACAUCUCCUAGUUACAGCACCCCUUUUUUUGGAACAGAAGAAGGUGAAAACCGAACCAGAAAGUUUCUUACUGGGCAUGGAACUAGAACAAAGAAAAGUUGAAACUUUGUUUUUAAUUUUUUAUGAAGAGAAUUUCCAAACACACAUAAAAGUAGAAUAGUUAAAAUGAAUGUUCAUAUACUUAUCAACGAGCUUCAACAACAAUCCGUAUUUUGCCUUCCUUAAUUUCAUUUAUCACUGCAUUUUUUUUUCCUUAAGUAUGUUAAAGACACCCUGGACAUCGUAUCAUUUCACCUACAAAUAAUUCAGUGUGUCUCUAACAGAUAAGGACUGUUAAAAAUACCAUUAUCACACCCAACACAAUGAAAAAUAAUUAUUUAAUAAUAUUAAUACUUAGUAUAUGUCCAAUUCCCCUCUACCCCAUCUCAAGAAAACCUUAAAUUGUUUAAUCAGGUCAAAACAAGGUCUCCUUACUGCAUUCAUUGAUAUAUCUCCUAAACCUCUUUUGAUAUAUAGUAGCCCCCCCUUUUCCAAAAGGAUACAUUCCAAGACCCUCAAUGAAUGCCUGAAACCUCAGAUAGUACCAAACUCUAUAUAUACUAUGUUUUUUCUAUAAAUACAUAUAAUAAAGUUUAACUUUUAAAUUAAGCACAGUGAGAAAUUAACAAUAAUAAAAUAGAACAAUUAUAACAAUACACUGUAAUAAGAGUUAUGUGAAUAUGGUCCCUCAAAAUAUCUUGUACAAAUUUAAUGCCUUUUCCAUUUUAACUAAGCACAGUGUGGCCAUAACUUUUGCAGUUUCGAGGUUCAACAGCAAAGCCAGCAUGAAUUUCUUUUUCCUUCUUUGCAAUUUCACAGAUAGAAGAUUCGUCCUUAAAGUAGAUCUUAGUAACGCCAGCAUAUGAUUUUUGUCUAUUCUCAUUAAGACCUUUCACCUUUUCACUUGGUGGAAGCACUUCGUGGCUUCUCCUUGGCGUAUCUGAAUUGCCAGCAUCUCUACUCUUGCACUUUGGGGGCCAUUAUUAAGUAAAAUAAAGGUUACUUGAACACAAAGCACUGUGAUACAGGGACAGCCAAUCUGAUAACCAAGAGGGCUAAUAAAUGAGUUAACGGGUGGGAUCCGUUGGACAAAGAUGAUUCAGAUCCCGGGCAGAACAGAGCAAGAUUUCGUCACGCUACUCAGGAUGGAGAACCCUGAAAGUUGGCCUAAUCGAUGGGUAAUCUUAAAGAGACUGCAUUCCCCACAGGAAGAAGCUUGCCUCAGUUUACAGAAAAUUCAGAAGUUUGAAGCCAUCGUCAGGAAAUAAUAAGGCAAAUCCAGAAUGUGAAACAAUUGGCUUCAAUCUUUCAAAAACUAAAGUCAAGAAAAGGAAAAAAAAAAUAGUGGGCGAAAUGGGGGAUUUUAAGAAACUAAAGAUGCGUAAUACCAAAUAAGACAUGUGAACCCUGACUGGACCCAGUGCCAGCAAUCCCUCCCAUCCCCGUAUCCACAUGCUGCUCUUCCCACUCGGGGUGGAAUCCAUUUCCCCUCCACUGGAAUCUCAUUCUGGACCUGUGACUUGCGCUGACCAAUUCAACGCAGUGGAAGAAAACUGUAUGGCUCUGGCGCCUGGGGCUUAAGAGGCCUGAUGGCUUCCAUUUUCACUCUCUUGGAACCCAGCUGAUACAAGGUCCAGCCCAGCAGACUGAGCCAUGAGUUAACAGGAUGAAGCCAUUUUGGAUCCUUCAGUCCCAGAGGAACUGCCCUAGUCAAUACCAACAUGGAACAAAGAUGAGCUACCCCCACCAAAACCAUUCUAUGCAAUUAUGUAACUGGAAAAAAAAAUUAUGACAUGCUUUAUGAGCUGAUACAGAAAGAUUUCCGGGAUAUACUGCUAUGUUAAAAAAA